CCACACAAUCCACGAGUGACAGGACCACGGUCAAGCUGCGCCAGGGCUUCUGGAGCCAACCCUGUGCCUUCUUUCCCAUAAGAUCGCGUGCUGAGCUCCCCGCAGAAUCGUAAGCACAGAGGAUCUUCAACCAGGAUGAACGACUAGACCCAGAGUCCCUUCAGCACCAGAUGCUUUCUGUUAUUUCCAGAUGCUUGUUUUUCGUAACUGGCGUCUUGAUGCUCUGGGCAGGGCUUUUCUGAGCCUUUGGAGGGAGUCCCCACACAUCUCGCUCGACGGGAACAAGCGCAUGCAGGUUGCUUCUUCCUGCCUGUUUCUCAGAUCUGGGGCUCUGGGGCUCCCACCUCCAGGAACAAGAGGAUCCCGGGAACCCUGGGUGAGGCCUUCACAAGACUCCAGAACUUCAG
rnacentral:lncRNA from 1 species